rnacentral:rRNA from 1 species
GCGUGAUUGCAGAUUCCGUGAAUCAUCGAGUCUUUGAACGCACAUUGCGCCCCCUGGUAUUCCGGGGGGCAUGCCUGUCCGAGCGUCAUUGCUGCCCAUCAAGCACGGCUUGUGUGUUGGGUCGUCGUCCCCUCUCCGGGGGGGACGGGCCCCAAAGGCAGCGGCGGCACCGCGUCCGAUCCUCGAGCGUAUGGGGCUUUGUCACCCGCUCUGUAGGCCCGGCCGGCGCUUGCCGAACGCAAAUCAAUCUUUUCCAGGUUGACCUCGGAUCAGGUAGGGAUACCCGCUGAACUUAAGCAUAUCAAUAAGCGGAGGAU